rnacentral:rRNA from 1 species
GGAAUAUUGGACAAUGGGGGAAACCCUGAUCUAGCCAUGCCGCGUGAUCGAUGAAGGCCUUAGGGUUGUAAAGAUCUUUCAGUUGGGAAGAUAAUGACGGUACCAACAGAAGAAGCCCCGGCUAACUCCGUGCCAGCAGCCGCGGUAAUACGGAGGGGGCUAGCGUUAUUCGUAAUUACUAGGCGUAAAGCGCACGUAGGCGGACUGGAAAGUUAGAGGUUAAAUCCCAGGGCUCAACCUUGGAACUGCCUUUAAAACUAUCAGUCUAGAGAUCGAGAGAGGUGAGUGGAAUUCCGAGUGUAGAGGUGAAAUUCGUAGAUAUUCGGAGGAACACCAGUGGCGAAGGCGGCUCACUGGUCCAUAACUGACGCUGAGGUGCGAAAGCGUGGGGAGCAAAC